rnacentral:tRNA from 1 species
AGAUACUUAGUCCAAAACAAAGACCACUAAUUUCGGCUUAGUAAAUUAUGGUGAAAAUCCAUAAGUAUCUU